AGUGAACGCUGGCGGUAGGCCUAGCACAUGCAAGUCGAACGGCAGCACAGUAAGAGCUUGCUCUUACGGGUGGCGAGUGGUGGACGGGUGAGGAAUACAUCGGAAUCUACUUUUUCGUGGGGGAUAACGUAGGGAAACUUACGCUAAUACCGCAUACGACCUACGGGUGAAAGCAGGGGAUCUUCGGACCUUGCGCGAUUGAAUGAGCCGAUGUCGGAUUAGCUAGUUGGCGGGGUAAAGGCCCACCAAGGCGACGAUCCGUAGCUGGUCUGAGAGGAUGAUCAGCCACACUGGAACUGAGACACGGUCCAGACUCCUACGGGAGGCAGCAGUGGGGAAUAUUGGACAAUGGGCGCAAGCCUGAUCCAGCCAUACCGCGUGGGUGAAGAAGGCCUUCGGGUUGUAAAGCCCUUUUGUUGGGAAAGAAAAGCAGCAGGUUAAUACCCCGCUGUUCUGACGGUACCCAAAGAAUAAGCACCGGCUAACUUCGUG
rnacentral:rRNA from 1 species